rnacentral:rRNA from 1 species
UACGAAGGGGGCUAGCGUUGCUCGGAAUCACUGGGCGUAAAGGGUGCGUAGGCGGGUCUUUUAAGUCAGGGGUGAAAUCCUGGAGCUCAACUCCAGAACUGCCUUUGAUACUGAGGAUCUUGAGUUCGGGAGAGGUGAGUGGAACUGCGAGUGUAGAGGUGAAAUUCGUAGAUAUUCGCAAGAACACCUGUGGCGAAAGCGGCCCGCUGGGCAGUGGCUGACGCUGAGGCGCGACAGCGUGGGGAGCAAACGAGGAU